CAGAAUACAGGUCACAAUACGUCUGCAUUCGUCUACCAACCACCUACGACUGACCAGAGGCCAAUAGCAAAUGGCAAUCAUCGUGGCAGGAACAAGAUGGCAGGAAUAAAAAGGAAAGGGGACAGGAAUGGACAUUUUUUCCCUCACAAAAAAAUCACAAAUUAAAACUUGUGUUUCGUUAAGAAUCCUUCCAUCAUCAAAAAUAUACUUCAAACAAAGAAUUUCUUGUAUGGUGUUCUGCUUAACUUUAUAAAAUAUUUUAAGACAAUAAUAACACUUGGAAAAUUGUUUUUCUAUUUAUUUUAAUUAACAAUUUAAAGGACUUUUGUAGAACUUAAUGUCUUAAAUCACUAAUUUUAUAAUCUAAUUGAUAAUGGAAUGAAGAGUAAGUGAGUUUACACAACAGUAAAUUAAUAUAAUCAAUAAUAUAAAAUAAAAUAAUGUUUUAUCUGGGUAGAAUGUAAAAUAUCCCAAUUGUGCUCAUAAUGGAUUAUAAAACAUGACAAUUUUUAUAAACUCUAAUUAUUGUGGUACUUACUCAUCAAUUAAGUAGUAAUAUUCAAAUCUGGAACAUGAUUUUGGUAACAGUCACAUCUCUGAGGAGGAAAUUUGUAAAUAUUUUCCUAUGUUGUAACUAAAGUGGAGACAACAUGUUGUGUAGGUCUGGCGAUGUAUCAGUGUACUGAGUGUGAUAGACGGUACCACCGCCAUGUAGAGAGUCUGUACCGCCACCGCCGCCUGGAGUGUGGAGGGAAGGCACCCCGGUAUGCCUGUACCGUCUGCCCGUACCGGGCACGCCAGAAGAACCACUUGAGGAUCCACGCAGUACGAAGGCAUGGAAUUGACAUCACAACUACAUUGGGAAUGACAUGAUGAUAUAGCUAAUUUGAAGCCUUCGUCAUAUCAACCCGAUCUAAGGCAGGAAGGAGCUGUGCUGGUACGUUGAAUUAUCCAGCAACGUUUCUCCAACAUCAGAUGACACUCAACAUUGGUAUUUUUGUAUAUGGAAUAAAUGUUUCUAUAAAAU